UAUCCGGUCGUGGGCGUAGGAAAUUUGAGAGGCGCUGUCCUUAGUACGAGAGGACCGGGAUGGACAUACCUCUGGUGUACCAGUUGUCGUGCCAACGGCAUAGCUGGGUAGCUAUGUAUGGACGGGAUAAGUGCUGAAAGCAUCUAAGCAUGAAGCCCCCCUCAAGAUGAGAUUUCCCAACUUCGGUUAUAAGAUCCCUCAAAGAUGAUGAGGUUAAUAGGUUCGAGGUGGAAGCGUAGCGAUACGUGGAGCUGACGAAUACUAAUCGAUCGAAGACUUAAUCAA
rnacentral:ncRNA from 1 species